UCCCAGGUAACUCUGAUAUUAAUACUUUUG
rnacentral:piRNA from 1 species